rnacentral:rRNA from 1 species
UACGUAGGGUGCGAGCGUUAAUCGGAAUUACUGGGCGUAAAGCGUGCGCAGGCGGUUCGUUGUGUCCGUCGUGAAAGCCCCGGGCUUAACCUGGGAACUGCGAUGGAAACUAGCGGGCUGGAGUGUGGCAGAGGGGGGUGGAAUUCCACGUGUAGCAGUGAAAUGCGUAGAGAUGUGGAGGAACACCGAUGGCGAAGGCAGCCCCCUGGGCUAACACUGACGCUCAUGCACGAAAGCGUGGGGAGCAAACAGG